AAUGAAAUGCCUGAUAAAAGGAUUAUUUUGAUAGAAUAAAUUAUAUAAUAAUGUUAUUUUCAUUA
rnacentral:tRNA from 1 species